GACAGAGGUGCCAAGCGUUAGGCGGAAUCACUGGGCUUAAAGCGUGUGUAGGCGGGUCGUUAAGUACCUUGUGAAAUCCCCCGGCUCAACCGGGGAACGGCUGGGUAUACUGGCGAUCUUGAGCCACCUAGGGGCAGUCGGAACAAGUGGUGGAGCGGUGAAAUGCGUAGAUAUCACUUGGAACGCCAAUGGUGAAAACAGGCUGCUGGGGUUGCGCCGACGCUGAGACACGAAAGCCAGGGGAGCAAACGGG
rnacentral:rRNA from 1 species